rnacentral:rRNA from 1 species
GACGACGCUGGCGGCGUGGAUUAGGCAUGCAAGUCGAACGGUAUCAUCCUUCGGGGGUGAGAGAGUGGCGAACUGGUGAGUAACACGUAGGUUAUCUACCUCAAGACGGGGACAACCCAGGGAAACUUGGGCUAAUACCGGAUGUGAGCAACUUUUAGUUGUUUGAAAGGUGGCGUAAGCUGUCGCUUGGGGAUGAGCCUGCGUCCUAUUAGUUAGUUGGUGAGGUAACGGCUCACCUAGGCAAUGAUAGGUAGGCGGCCUUAACGGGUGGUCGCCCACACUGGGAUUGAGAUACGGCCCAGACUCCUACGGGAGGCAGCAGUCGAGAAUAGUCUACAAUGGUCGGAAGACUGAUAGUGCGACGCCGCGUGAACGAUGAAUCCCUUCGGGGUGUAAAGUUCUUUUAUAUGUGAGCAGUGCUUCUUAUAUUAACAGUAUGGGGAGAGAGAUAUUAGCAUAUGAAUAAGCAACGGCCAACUCCGUG